UACGAAGGGGGCUAGCGUUGCUCGGAAUUACUGGGCGUAAAGCGCACGUAGGCGGUCUUUUAAGUCGGGGGUGAAAUCCUGGAGCUCAACUCCAGAACUGCCUUCGAUACUGGAAGACUCGAGUCCGGGAGAGGUGAGUGGAACUGCGAGUGUAGAGGUGAAAUUCGUAGAUAUCCGCAAGAACACCAGUGGCGAAGGCGGCUCACUGGCCCGGUACUGACGCUGAGGUGCGAAAGCGUGGGGAGCAAACAGG
rnacentral:rRNA from 1 species